CGUCCGCGCGCGUGCGGGGGUCCCGGCGGGGCGUGCGCGUCCGGCGCCGUCCGUCCGUCCGUUCGUCUUCCUGCCUCCUCCCGUCCUCUCCCGCCGACCACGGGCGGUGGUGGGGGGGGGGCGCGCAUCCCCGGUCGGCGCGCCCCGCUUCUCCGGUUCCCCCCUCCUCCCCGUUCACCGCCGGGGCGGCUCGUCCGCUCCGGGCCGGGACGGGGCCCGGGGAGCGCGGGUGGGAACCGCGGAGGCGGCCGAGCCGGGCCCCGUGGCCUGCCGGCCCCCCGUCCCGGGGGGUGGCCGCGCG
rnacentral:misc_RNA from 1 species